AAAAUAUAAAAUCGAAUCAAUAACCGUCAAUCAAGUAAGUGCUUGACUCAAGCAUGAAUCGAACAUUGUAAACGGUCAAAAUGCUUAACUCAAGCAAAAAUCUACAUGCUUGACGUCAAGCCGUUUGACCGUCUCGGAAACCCUUUACAAUAACUAAUCCAGG